GAUGAAGAACGCAGCGAAAUGCGAUACUUGGUGUGAAUUGCAGAAUCCCGUGAACCAUCGAGUCUUUGAACGCAAGUUGCGCCCGAAGCCAUUAGGCCGAGGGCACGCCUGCCUGGGCGUCACACGUCGUUGCCCCCCCAUCUACUCCUUCGGGAUUGCGGGGGGCGGAUGAUGGCCUCCCGUGCGCCUCGUCGCGCGGUUGGCAUAAAUACCAAGUCCUCGGCGACGCACGCCACGACAAUCGGUGGUUGCGAAACCUCGGUUGCCCGUCGUGUGCGGUCGUCGCGCAUCGAGGGCUCGAAAAAAUUGCCGGGCUCCGGCUCGGCUUUCAACGCGACCCCAGGUCAGGCGGGGUUACCCGCUGAAUUUAAGCAUAUCAUAAGCGGAGGA
rnacentral:misc_RNA from 1 species